rnacentral:rRNA from 1 species
UACGUAGGGUGCAAGCGUUGUCCGGAAUUACUGGGCGUAACGCGUGCGCAGGCGGCUUUGCAAGACAGAUGUGAAAUCCCCGGGCUUAACCUGGGAACUGCAUUUGUGACUGCAUGGCUGGAGUGCGGCAGAGGGGGAUGGAAUUCCGCGUGUAGCAGUGAAAUGCGUAGAUAUGCGGAGGAACACCGAUGGCGAAGGCGAGCCCCUGGGCCUGCACUGACGCUCAUGCACGAAAGCGUGGGGAGCAAACAGG